rnacentral:lncRNA from 1 species
UGCUACCGACUGAGGCGCUGCCGCCGACUGAACCGGCGCUGGUGGUUGAAGAGCCGACUGGAGCGGACCUUGGGAUGCCUCAGGAACUUCUAGCGAUGCCAGGCUCGUCGAAUGUCGAGUUCAACAUCCAGCGUCUCUCGGAGGAGCAGGUGGGAGCGGCCAAGGGAGCCAUGGUGCAGGCGGAGCUGAUGGCUGGAGAAGCCAAGAGGGCCUACGACUCCGUCGCAUCCUUGUACCAGCGGAGCUUGGAGCUGCGGGAUGAUAUCCGAGUAAGUGGG